AUGAAUCCACUGAUUGCUGCUGCUUCUGUUAUCGCUGCUGGGUUGGCCGUCGGGCUUGCUUCUAUUGGACCUGGAGUUGGUCAAGGCACAGCUGCAGGGCAAGCUGUAGAAGGGAUUGCGAGACAACCGGAAGCAGAGGACAAAAUACGGGGUACUUUAUUACUUAGUCUGGCUUUUAUGGAAGCUUUAACUAUUUAUGGGCUGGUUGUAGCAUUAGCUCUUUUAUUUGCCAAUCCUUUUGUUUAA
rnacentral:lncRNA from 1 species